rnacentral:rRNA from 1 species
GUAACCGGCUACCAAGGCGAUGACGGGUAGCUGGUCUGAGAGGGUGGCCAGCCACAUUGGGACUGAGAGACGGCCCAGACUCCUACGGGAGGCAGCAGUGGGGAAUCUUGCGCAAUGGCCGGAAGGCUGACGCAGCGACGCCGCGUGGAGGAUGACGCCCUUCGGGGUGUAAACUCCUGUUGCCCGGGACGAAUGCCCCUGUAUGGGGGAGUGACGGUACCGGGUGAGGAAGCACCGGCUAACUCUGUGCCAGCAGCCGCGGUAAUACAGAGGGUGCGAGCGUUGUCCGGAAUCACUGGGCGUAAAGGGCGCGUAGGUGGCUUGGUAAGCGUGCGGUGAAAGCCCGGGGCUCAACCCCGGGUCGGCCGUGCGAACUGCGGAGCUGGAGCACUGUAGAGGCAGGUAGAAUUCCGGGUGUAGCGGUGGAAUGCGUAGAGAUCCGGAAGAAUACCGGUGGCGAAGGCGGCCUGCUGGGCAGUGGCUGACACUGAGGCGCGACAGCGUGGGGAGCAAACAGGAUUAGAUACCCUGGUAGUCCACGCCGUAAACG